rnacentral:rRNA from 1 species
GACGAACGCUGGCGGCGUGCCUAAUACAUGCGAGUAGAACGCUGAAGGAGGAGCUUGCUUCUCUGGAUGAGUUGCGAACGGGUGAGUAACGCGUAGGUAACCUGCCUGGUAGCGGGGGAUAACUAUUGGAAACGAUAGCUAAUACCGCAUAAGAGUAGAUGUCGCAUGACAUUUGCUUAAAAGGUGCAAUUGCAUCACUACCAGAUGGACCUGCGUUGUAUUAGCUAGUUGGUGAGGUAACGGCUCACCAAGGCAACGAUACAUAGCCGACCUGAGAGGGUGGUCGGCCACAAUGGGACUGAGACACGGCCCAGACUCCUACGGGAGGCAGCAGUAGGGAAUCUUCGGCAAUGGACGGAAGUCUGACCGAGCAACGCCGCGUGAGUGAAGAAGGUUUUCGGAUCGUAAAGCUCUGUUGUAAGAGAAGAACGAGUGUGAGAGUGGAAAGUUCACACUGUGACGGUAUCUUACCAGAAAGGGACGGCUAACUACGUG